UACGUAGGGUGCAAGCGUUUGUCCGGAAUUAUUGGGCGUAAAGAGCUCGUAGGCGGUUUGUCGCGUCUGGUGUGAAAAUCCAGGGCUUAACCCUGGACCUGCAUCGGGUACGGGCAGACUAGAGUGCGGUAGGGGAGAUCGGAAUUCCUGGUGUAGCGGUGAAAUGCGCAGAUAUCAGGAGGAACACCGGUGGCGAAGGCGGAUCUCUGGGCCGUAACUGACGCUGAGGAGCGAAAGCAUGGGGGAGCGAACAGG
rnacentral:rRNA from 1 species